UAAGAGCUACACGCACGGGCUACGGAGGGGGAGAGCGCAUGAGGAAGUUGUGUUGUUGUUGUGAUGACGGAGUGGAUGUAGCGGCCGGAGAAUUGUCUGUACUGUAACUUUGUUACUCAGUGUUAGAUUAAUAAAUCCUCAAAGAAAGUAAAGCGGACUUUUAUUCACCAACCCCGGGACGAAGGGAAUUAACCCCAAAGUUUACUUAGCCGACAGUACUUUGGCCCUGGAGCAGACAGCAACGCCUCCCCCUGCAAACUCCGACUACGGUCAGAGACGGACCGGCAGGAAAGCGUGCAGCCGGGCGCAGCUAAAUGACACGUAAUGUAUUAUGGCCCGUGCAAAGUCAUGCCACCAGUCUGAGGACAUCACUGGGAAUGGCACAUGGGACACGUGGCUUUCAACUCCAGCGA